AAAGAGAAAGUUUAUUACGAUGUAGGUGCAUAUUCAAGGCCCGUUGAUGGAUGAACUUUUGUAGUUGUGGUCCAAAGGUGUACGUAUGUGGGACGGGCAUAAAAAAUAUGAUUUUGAUCUACGUGCUUUGUUAUUGGCGAACAGGCGAGUGAGUGAAGAGAGAAGCCAUGCCUCUUUCGAGUGAGGCAAGCGAUGAACGAGUAGAUGCUGCCAUUCAACAAGGGAUUCAGGGUCUGCACCUAUUGUUUAGAUGAGAUCGGUAUCUUGUAUCUACAUCAUUGUAGAGAAGUUGUUUACAUGGGCCAUCGUCGAUUUCUUGUAAACACCAAAUAAGAAGAAAAGGCAAGCAUUGAAAUGCACAAGUAGACCAUCGUGCCAAGCCUAUUCCCCAAAGGAGCAACCUUGUAUUCCAGAUGGUAUAGAACUUAAAUGUAGUGUAUGGGAAUC